AUUGAACGCUGGCGGCAGGCCUAACACAUGCAAGUCGAACGAGUGGCGGACGGGUGAGUAAUGUCUGGGAAACUGCCUGAUGGAGGGGGAUAACUACUGGAAACGGUAGCUAAUACCGCAUACCAUCGGAUGUGCCCAGAUGGGAUUAGCUAGUAGGUGGGGUAACGGCUCACCUAGGCGACGAUCCCUAGCUGGUCUGAGAGGGUGACCAGGCACACUGGAAAUGAGACCCGGUCCAGACUCCUACGGGAGGCAGCAGUGGGGAAUAUUGCACAAUGGGCGAAAGCCUGAUGCAGCCAUGCCGCGUGUAUGAAGAAGGCCUUCGGGUUGUAAAGUACUUUCAGCGAGGAGGCGUUACUCGCAGAAGAAGCACCGGCUAACUCCGUGCCAGCAGCCGCGGUAAUUC
rnacentral:rRNA from 1 species